ACUCCUACGGGAGGCAGCAGUGGGGAAUAUUGCACAAUGGGCGCAAGCCUGAUGCAGCCAUGCCGCGUGUGUGAAGAAGGCCUUCGGGUUGUAAAGCACUUUCAGUCGUGAGGAAGGUAGUGUAGUUAAUAGCUGCAUUAUUUGUACGUUAGCGACAGAAGAAGCACCGGCUAACUCCGUGCCAGCAGCCGCGGUAAUACGGAGGGUGCGAGCGUUAAUCGGAAUUACUGGGCGUAAAGCGCAUGCAGGUGGUUUGUUAAGUCAGAUGUGAAAGCCCGGGGCUCAACCUCGGAAUAGCAUUUGAAACUGGCAGACUAGAGUACUGUAGAGGGGGUAGAAUUUCAGGUGUAGCGGUGAAAUGCGUAGAGAUCUGAAGGAUACCGGUGGCGAAGGCGGCCCCUGGAC
rnacentral:rRNA from 1 species